AAGACACUAGUAAAUAGUGAACAUUACAUUGCUUUGUCAAGGCAAAAUUGCGGGUUAAAAUCCCGCGUGUCUUA
rnacentral:tRNA from 2 species